AUUGAACGCUGGCGGCAGGCCUAACACAUGCAAGUCGAGCGGAUGAAGGGAGCUUGCUCCUGGAUUCAGCGGCGGACGGGUGAGUAAUGCCUAGGAAUCUGCCUGAUAGUGGGGGAUAACGUCCGGAAACGGGCGCUAAUACCGCAUACGUCCUGAGGGAGAAAGUGGGGGAUCUUCGGACCUCACGCUAUCAGAUGAGCCUAGGUCGGAUUAGCUAGUUGGUGGGGUAAAGGCCUACCAAGGCGACGAUCCGUAACUGGUCUGAGAGGAUGAUCAGUCACACUGGAACUGAGACACGGUCCAGACUCCUACGGGAGGCAGCAGUGGGGAAUAUUGGACAAUGGGCGAAAGCCUGAUCCAGCCAUGCCGCGUGUGUGAAGUAGGUCUUCGGAUUGUAAAGCACUUUAAGUUGGGAGGAAGGGCAGUAAGUUAAUACCUUGCUGUUUUGACGUUACCAACAGAAUAAGCACCGGCUAACUUCGUG
rnacentral:rRNA from 1 species